GCCCUCGUGGCGGAAUUGGCAUACGCGGCAGGUUGAGGGCCUGUGUCCAAUUGGACGUGGAGGUUCAAGUCCUCUCGAGGGCA
rnacentral:tRNA from 1 species